CAGGAAACCCUGACUACAGUGGAAGCUUCAAGCUUUAACCAGCAUUACUGCUAAAUUCAAGAAUCCUAAUAGGAGAAAGGGUGAAGGAAGAAAUGUAAGGCUUGCUGUUCAAGUUAUGCUGAAAUACUGAAUCUGAAUGAAAGGUGUCAGUGUUGGAGGCUCAAGACAUGGGCCCUGAAAAUGAAAUUACUCUUACUUUGUUUAUUAAUGGUGUAUUGUUGCAAGCAGCUGAAAGCCACAGGCCCUCCUGGUGAGAAGUCAAUCCUUCUUGCAGCUCAGGUUUUCUGGUUUCCUAUGUCGUAGAAGAGGCUCUGCAGCAUGCACAGCUACUCACUUUCUGGCUGAGAACAAAAUAAUUCUAAAGAUAUACUGAGAGCACGAUCCUAAUUUGCUUCAGCAGCCUUUGGCCUCUUUGUCAUACAGAAACCCAGGAAAUUACAGAAACUUCAGGAGCAAUGUCAAGCAGAGAAUACCUUUUCUGCUCUGCCCUGAUGCAAGGACAGACAGGAGCUGCACACUGCCUGAGUCCAUUAGCUGGUCAGAGUGCAUGCAGGAGACGAGCAGAUACCACUCCCAAGGUUCCAGUGGCAACUUUGUAUUUCGAGCAUGCCUGGGACUGCUGGGCAAAAAAUAAGGUAACUGCCAUGGUUUUCUGCACGUGCUCCAAAGAUGUGGGUAUGCUACACCACUCGCCCACAGAACCCAUCCUCUAAGUAAAGCUGCUUCAAAGCUUCACUCUUCCAGCCUCAGUCCAACCCACCAAGUCUCAGCCACCAUGUCAGCUGCUACAAAAGUCACUUCAGAUAUUCCCUGUGCUAUUGGAAUGAGGCUGCUUUUUGUGGAAGUGCAGUGACCAAUAACAUGAGCUUGUUGGAUGAAUUAUGUCUUGACACCCAUCCAGGUAAAGCAGCAGAGAUGACGGAUAGUUUGGCAGAAGUAGUGCAAUUAACAUAUGAAAGGAUAUCUAUAACAUAUGGGCAUCAGUAUAUAUUUGUGGAUUAAUACAUGGCUAUUCUUCUGAAAAAUAGGUUUUAAAAUUGUCCUUUCUGCUUAAAAAGUCAAUGAAGAUUUAAUUAUAAACCUGAACAUACCUAAUACAUAUGUAAGAGAGAUCCUGAAAAAAAAUUAGAGGACACAGAAUGAAAUUAAAGCCAAAACUUGUCUAACCAUUAACUACAAUGGAUUAAUGCCAGUUUACACCACCUGAGAAUCUGGCCGAUAAUAUCUAUUUAGCACGCAUUGUCCUGCAUCUCUUGUGUUAUUUAUUUUCAGUCAUUAGAACAGCUUUGGCAAAGUAAGGUCCUGCUUUAUUUCGGAGGUGAGUCUUAAACAAACCCUCAUGCCCAAUGCUCUUUUUCAGUUUCAUUUUGUGUGUGUGUGUGUACAAUGAGCUGGCUAUGAACGGUACCUUGUAAGCUAUGGAUUGUCUUGGUUUAUGGAUUCUCCUAUGUAUUUAUAUACUAAUUACAUAACUAGUUUAGUAAACUUGUACUUCUUAGGUAAGACAUUCCAGAAAUCAAAAUAGUCAACAUUAAACACCACAAGUACAGCUGCAGUUUUAAAUAUUUUAUAAUCCAAUCAAAUUGUUUGAGUAGUAAUGCAUUUAAAUGUUGUUAUGGAAUCCCCUCUAGACUUUUUAAAAUGGUUACUCUGUUCUUGGCUUUGCUAUUUAUGAAAUUCAUAUGGGAUGACAUUUUUAAUAAUAGAGCAUUUGACUUACAGAGUAGCAAUUCCUGCAGUGUCUCAGUAUAAUCUAUAAUUUUCUGACUGAACUUUCAGAGGGACACAAACACAUAUCACACUUUUAUUAAUGAACAUAUACAUCUGUUGAUGUUGCCAUAAUUGAAAUGACCUUAAGUGAGAAGACCUACAUAAGUCAUUUAGCAUUUUUUAUGAUGCUUGGGUGAAGAUGCUGUGCAGAUGCAGCUGUAGGAAGCUAAGACAGGAGCAUAAAAGCUGUGCUAAAAUGACAAAGGAAGGUUUAAUUUAGAAAAAGGCACAACGCAAAAUGCAGCCCGCGUAUAAUUAAGCGACGUCCAGUACGAUCGAGUCGGACAGAAGAAAGCUAUCAGGGAGUCUAAAUUACCUCUCCUCCCUAGAGAGAAUGGCACUGGCAGGUCAGGGCUGUGCUAAAUGCUGGGUAACAUAAGGGUAUUUGAUUGCGGUUGCUUUUGCUGUGCAGAGGUCGUGGAUAAACUGUGGACAUCAUUUUUGAGAGGCCUAAGUUCCCGAACCUCCUCAAGCACAAAUAUGUGUCAGAAGGGCACGUAAAAAACAACAGCCAGGGCUUUGGGGAAAAACCCAACCCAACACAUGCUCCUUUGCAGUUCAUCUUCGGCUCUCUUCCAUUGAACGGCACAGUCUGAAGCCACAUAACUGCUCAAAACUGGGUCAAAAAGUCAUGGAAGGACUGGUGGCAGGCAGGGCUCCCCAGGGACAAGUCAUGAGGUGGCAUCCCAUGUCAGUGGCUGGUGGCAGGCAUAGAGGAAGAGCACAGGCAGGGAGCCUUCAGCCUCCCUGGGAGGCAGAGGU